GCCCCAGUGGGACCAGCAGCACAUCUGCCUUGGUCCAGGGCUGCUUAUAGCCCUAACGGGGAGCUGGGGUGGUUUUUUGGCUACUGAUGCAUGGGCCACACUUCCCAGGCAUGCCCCCCAAACCUUCUGAGCCUGGCCAGCGUGCGCAAGGACUGUGAGAUGACUGUCAGGUGAAGACCACCCGAACAGCGUGCAGGAGGAAGAGCAGACAGGCAGAAAACACAGGACCCAUCACGGUGAUGGAGAAGGUGCCCAGCCCACGCCGAGGGAGCCGGUGGCCUUACCUGGAGGCUAUUCUGGUGAAGUACUCGUAGGCGUUCUCCUUGGUGGGCUGCAAGGAUUUCAGCAUGUAGCGAAACUCCGCGUCGUACCGCUCGUUGAUGUCAUCACCGAUGAUGGCCAGGCGCCUUCCCACCAGGCUCCCGGUGCUGCCCAGGGGGAAGAUGAUGUUAUGGACAGCCAGGCGAUCAGCAUGAACCGAAUGCCUGCUCCUGCUCCAGCACACCCGUUGCCACCGUGCCACAGCAGACACCUCAACCCCCUGCUCUGCUAACCCGUGGAAGCAAUAAGCCCGUUGCACAGCGAGCGUGAGGCUGCGGUGGGCAGGGGGGGUCGUGCUGUGGGGGCGAGCUGAGGCUGGUUUUGGGUGCCACAGCGUCCCUCCCCUGCUCUUGUAAACAAGCAGGGCUCGGCACGCCAGGUAUUCGGGGUUCAGCGGGGGGAAUGCACCCGUGCAGCCACAUCACCCAGCCCCGCCAGCGCGCCGAAACCCACCCGGCUCCGCGCAAUGAAUGAAACAACCAGCGUCAACAAGCACGCGCCUGUCUGCAAACGGCUCAAGCUCCAGACCCGCACGCGUGUCCCCCGUGCCCACGCUGCUCGGGGAAGAGCGAGGGUCUGGAGGUGGCCAGGACCUGCCCCUUCCAGAGCAGGGAGCCCCCAGCAAGGCGCCUGGGUCCCGCAGGAACAGGUUUAUUUGGUGGUAAAUAAAUCCCACCUUACGGAGGAGCCAGUGACCGCUCCAGCGAGAGCCUGAAAACGAAACCGACUGACUCACAGUUUCAGUGAGAGGCAGGGUAAACACGCUGCUGUGAGAAGAAAAGAGGAAAUAAGUGUACCAAAAAAAAAUCCCUGGCUUUAAUUACCCCAGGUGCUAUUUUUAGUAACACAUGGACAGGAGAACACACGUCUUUUUCUCCCCCUUGCAGCACCCACUGGGUCUCUCCCACCCAAAGGAAGACUGUCCAGAUCAAGAUUUGGCUUGUGGACCCCCAGUACCAUCAGCGGAGAGGGGGGAGACUGGUUUGGAGCUCCUCUGGGGUCUUUGGGCUCCCUGUGGGAUCCUCGGGGCCGCGUCAGGCAGCUCAGGAGCUGCUGUGAACCCCCCACACACACUGCAAGGGAGGACCCCCUCUGCUUUGGCUUCACGGAGCUGUGACCCCUUCGUCCUUGGUCCCCAGCUCACUCUCAGCAUCCAGACCAGACCUACCCCAACAGCCUCUCGCCUGGAUGUGCACUGCAGACAGCACUGACCAGAGCCCAGCCAGCCUCAGACAUGCAACAUCUGCCUUUCUGGGCAAGAUCCUUUAUUUCUCACAGUUCCCGUCUCCUGGAGAGCAGCUGCACUACAGGAAAAACUGGCAGGUCCCACCAAAGUUAUCCGUCAGACCUCGUUACAACUAAACAGCCCUGCUAAAGACGGCAGUAAUGACAGAUGCAACCUGGCAGCAUCCCCUUUCGAGGGCAGGAGAUGGGCAGUAUCUACACCCAGAGGUGCAUCUGGUUGCACAGAGGGAGAUACCCAGCCUGGAAAGAGCAACAGGCUCUGAAGGGAGAAGACAGCCCUGAGGAACCAAGAACGUGUCUCUGGAGAUUUCUGCCUCCAGGGGAAGCUCAGUUCCACCUCAUGGUAGUUGCAAUUCAAGUGUGGGGUGAGUAGCAUCUGCGUUAAUGGAUUUGGUUAAGCUUCCACCGGGCAAGGCAGCCACUUGUGAAACGUACUGCUGGCCAAGAGCAAUGCCACCCAGGAUCAAAGGCUGCUCCACCUGGCACUGCAUCACACCGGCACAAUCCUGCACCCAAAAGCAGGGCUUCUAGACAGGGAAAUGGAAAACUGCCGUCCCCAGAACCAUCGGCACAGCACAAAGCCCUGCCCCUUAUCCUGCUGUAUCCCCAAAGAGCAGCAAUAUUCUCCAACAGCCUCCUGGCAGAGCUAAUGGUUUUAAGAGAAAUUUAUCUGUCAAAUAAGGGAGAUUCUCUGAUCCAGGUUCUGGACUGGACUCAAGAAACCUGGUUUAAUUCUUCUCUUCCGUGGUGUCCCACCAACACACCCAGAGUUACAGGCUUGGGGCUGGGGGCUGCAGCAAGGUUUUGCUCUGGUACUUUGCCGCCCAAGCUGAGCCCUGUCCCAUAUCUGCAAAGCUACUGAACUGGGAAGGGAGGCUGGGCCCAGUGCCCAGUGGGAUGCCCGAGGCUGGUGGGCAUCUCAGCUUUGGCGGUGUAUCUCCCCCUACCCAUCACGUUUUUCAUAAAAGAUUUUGGGGGGCAUCCUUUGCAGGGCAGAACAAAGGAGUCACGAGGCAGUUCCACAGCAGAGUUAUUUCCCAGUGCAGCCAUCAGAAGGAUGACUUUUUUUUUUUUUUUUUUUUUUUUCUUUUAAGAAUGGAAACCACAUGUUGAUGGGAGAUGCAGUUCCAUGGGAAGUCCAGUACUCUGUGUCUGUGCUGGAGAUAGGAACUGCAUGGGCACCAAACAAGACAAAAAUAUCUUUAAAUGGGUUUGGAUGCUCUACAGAAUGUAUGAGAACCCGGGCUUAAACAGGCAGCUCACAUUUUUCCUGUUCAUUUUGCAGUUGGCCUGGGCAAUGAAGGCAUGGAGAUGCUCACAGAUGCAUGACUAACAUCCCUAAGCAACUGUUCAUCAGUUCAUGACUUGCUUCACAUGCAACAUCAGGUCCAGGGCUGAGACAAACAACCAAGGAGCAAAUCUUACACCUCUCUAGGCAUGUUACGUGAGUAUUAAACACAGACAGGUGAGAAAGCCCGAGUAACCCGAGGAAGAGCACGGUUGCCAGUCGGACACUGCAAACUGGUGUCGGGGUGGCUGGGCUUCCCAUGCGCAACCCUGGCACCUCGGGCAUCCCUGCAGAGACUGGCAUCAAAUCUCCCUCUAUUUCCACAGCAGUAACAAGUGGAUAUAGUGAUACAUCACCUUGCUCAACAGAGUGCUUUGGGGUUCUGGCUGACGUGGUCCACGCAGGCGCUUACGCCCACAUAAGUGGUAUUUUCACCACGUGGGCUAGCCCCUCUGCGGUGGAGGGGGCUGAGCUGCCUUUGGGUGGUUACCUGCAAGUGUGAGGACAUGUCCAUGGCUGGUGCCAUAGAUCUAAGCCUCCAUGGAAUGAUCCAAACCAUUCCUGUAGCGGUGUGCAUACCCUGGCUGCACGUCCGAACAGGCACGACAGCCACCCCCUCGUUACAGAUGAGAACCAAGGUCACUUUUCUGCAGUAUGAGCCCCGCUUCCUGAGCUCAGCUCAGCACCGUUGGUGCUGGGCCUCCUACAGCCUCCUUCUGCAAUGUUUGCUCCCCUUUGCAUGACUAUCAAUGAGCUCACUUGCUCCUCCUCUUCACCACAUACUGCCAGGAGCAUGAAGCUCCUGCCUUUGUCUACAAUGCCCUGAAAACACCAGAAGUGCAACUUGGGCACCCAGCCUAGACAGAACCAGCAGCAUCUUGCCCAUGCCCUAAGCAACAGCUGGCGGAACCAGGGCUCAGCAUCUUGCCCAUGCCCUAAGCAACAGCUGGCGGAACCAGGGCUCAGCACCUUGCCCAUGCCCUGAGCAACGGCUGGUGGAACCAGAGCUCAGAAGGAUGUUCAAGCAGAUCCUUGUGCAGCAGGUAAAUCUCUUCACUCCCUACUGCAUCCAAAGAUAAACAAACAGAGCAAGCAAGCCCUAAAUGAAAGCCAGGCUUAAUACCUGUUGACAAAAGCCUUCCGCCCCGUAAUGGUGGAAGCUGCACGUUUCUGCCUGCACUGGAGUCCAUGAGGCUUUUGCCCAAGAGGCAUGCAGAGAUCCCACCUCCAAAUUCCAGAUGGACUGCCCCCCCCCGCCCCCCCCGAGUUUUGGGAAGCGGAGGGAUACCAGUACUGCCAGUAAGUGUUUGCAAGUGUACAGGAAGCGUGACUGUACAACAGUGUGGUUUGAGCUUGGGGCCUGAUCCUUUCACUGGUUUUCACAUCAGCAUCUCAAUGGCCUCAACAGGAAAUCAGCAUACGUAAACAACUGCUCUUAUUUAUUUUCAUACCUUGUAGACUUUGGUAAGGGAAGGACAGGGUGCUUUUUUCUUCUAGUGUAUUCACGCAGGAUCUAGCACAAACGGUACUCCGAGAUGGAGAGGAGUCCAGGCAAUACGAGAGUAUAAAUAACAUUAUCAGGCCAAUAAACCAGCUCUGAGCUGGAUCUGAGCUCAAAUACAUAAACAGGUAGGUAUAGCUUCUAAUCUGCAUUAUUGACAGAACUGCAGUGACUCAGCCUUAUUUACAAAUCCACCUGCAGAACAGGUUAAGAAGUCACCUGUGUUCAACAGCUCCCUGUGCAGCGGCAUUUUAUCAUUUGGGGAUGAAACGGGAGCUGAGGAUUUUCCCAGCUUCCUUUCAGCCCCUUUCCCAGUUUUGCCCAUUAGUAACAGUCUGCUGGGCUUGGCACGCACGAGAAACGGACUGAACUGCUCCUGCACGUUGGUAAGCCGUAACUUUGCAUUGCUGCUCUGCCAAGGCACACCGGACACCCCAGCUCAUCCAGCAGCUGAUGCAGCAAGGCUGAAAGCAACUGCCCGACACCCGGCGCUGCUCGGCCAGGCGCGUUUUUCUCUGUGUUUUAAGCAUCGAGCAUCUUUUGCUCAGGGAAGGGAAAGUAAAUGACACCAGGCACCAGCCAGACAUCUCGCAGCCAGCCCCAUGUCCCAACCCCCGUGCCCUCUGGCACCCCACUGCCCACCUCAGCGUGCCUGCACGGAGCUGCGAGCGUACCCCACUCCGGCAGCUCCCUGCACACUUAUUUUCUCCGUGCCUUUCAAGCCCCCCCUUGCUGCCCACCGCGCUAAUCCAACGCCACGCAUCUCCCCAAAGCAUUGCGCACGCGCUGCUCUCCCAGUUCAGUUCAGCACAGCUUUAUGGAGUUGGUUUGUUACCCCAGUCUUGCCAAGGGCCCUGGAGGUAUGAAGAAACCACCCUUCCCAAGGAACAGAGCAGGGAGGGGAAAAAAAAAAAAAAAGAAAAAAAAAAAAGAAAGAAAAAGAGUUGAAAAUGCUUCCUCCCCUGAAUAUCACAGCAACCUUUUUACCUGAGUUGAGCUCUUGCGACCUGCGCCUGUGGCUUUCCCGACGCCCGUGGGCCCCCAGUGGGUCACCGUCGUUCCCUGAAGCCAUUGCAGAGAGAUGCUGGGGAGUAUCAGCGUUACCUGGAACGACCAGAGACAAUAUGUGACCUGGCUGCUCCCUUUGCAGCACUGCUCCCCAAUUCCAAUCCACACCAAGCCCCUUGGCUGGAUUUCUCCUCUCCUGACUCAUCUAACGUUGCAGGUGGUCACAUGCCACAAAAGGUAGUCACUCAGCUCCGCACUUGACCUCAGGACCUGCGCAUCCUCACCGGGAACCUGCAAGCAACUCGCUGACCAACCCACUCAGCAAGUGCCCGGGGCUGCACCGGCUCUUAGCCCAGACACCAGCACUCGCAGCAGCUCUGCGCCGGGCUGAAAGCCAAAAAUCACAGCGCAAGAGGGCUCUGUGACUUCCUGGCAGCACCCAGAGAACGUGCCUGGGAGCUGAGUCGUGGGGCUCUGCUGCUGCCCCGAACGCUGCUACCCUGACCUGCUGGCACGGCAAGAGCAAACCCACCGCGGCUCCCGCGCAGAGCCGGAGCGAUGGCGCCGAUUCCUCUUGGCAAGCACCUCCAACUUGAUUUCCAAAACUCCUGCAAGAGACGAGUUCCCUCUUCUCCAAAAUCCAGAAGCUAGAAUUCCCCCUGUUCUGCACAGUUCUUACUCUGAGCCGCUCCCAGAACAAGAAAACGAAAUGAGAACCAAAUGCACGGCUCCUGUCGCCCCUGAACUUCACAGGUGGCCUAAAGCCAGACCUGUGGCUUAGGGCUGUCGCAGCUCCUUUAUCUCUCUGCUCGUUGCACUGACCUCACCCCCAGUUUUUGCAGAGAAGGAAGCGAGUCGAUGCAGUUACCACCAGGGUUAGUGAGAGAGCACGGCAGCUCCCAGCCCGCCUGGCAUGCCAGUACAUGUUCUCGGGGCUUCUACAGGGCUCAGCUGGUGGGGGUUGUGAUUUGCACCAGGUCUAAAUUACUAAAGACACACCGACACCCAGAAAUGUAACUUGUAUCCUGGGCAAAAAUAAUAAUAAUAAAAAAAGCACUGGUUAUGGAUAAAUAACCACCUGUGUCAGGAUGAGAAGGGCAACACACGGUCCGAGCAUAUAACCUCACGCUGAAGAUUAUGCAGAAUUAAAACUUAAAUUGAGGGUGCUGUGAAGUAAGUGUGAAGUACAGUUUGCAGUCGAGGUGGGGACGGGGGUCUGGAAAUGCAAAGCUUAUCAGCCCGGCUUAGAAAGCCACUGCGUGUUUGCAGAGCUGCAGUCAGGGAGCCCCGGCCGCGGUGACACGCAGAUGGAGAUGCUGUUUUUUCCUCUGUGCCCCCGAGGACAGGAUUUCCCUUUUCCUCCCCAACCUUAAACAUCCCCAUCCAAGGAAAAGCUGGAAACACGAUGAGGAUCAGCAGUUGGGAUGGAGAGUAAAGCCGGGAGGAGAGCUGGCUCCCACUUGCCCAGAUCAGAGACCCAGGCUCCAGAGCUGCUCCUCUCCUUGCUCUUCGCUGCUCUGGGAAGUGGUGGAGAGAGCUCAGGGAGUCCUUGGAGCGGAUGCACGUGCCCCCGUCCCCUCCUCCACAGAGGAAACCCUCCCGUCCUUCCUCCGCUGCCAUCCCCAGCGCCUCCUGGGGUGCUCAGCAAGGCUCCAGCUGCAGCCCACCUCGCAGGGAAGGGCCUCAGCACCCUUCAAGGGGAAGCCAGCCCGGACCCAGAGCAGCUCUCUGGCGUUCGUGCUAACCAAAGCACUACGAAUUUCCACUGUAUUCCACGCUGCUGCGACCCGAGGCUGCCCUGGAUGCUGGGGAGGACCUCCGCUGCGAUUAGCAGGGAAUUUCUGAUGCAGACCUGACUGCCCAGCAUGAAGGGUGGCCUGCGAGCGCAGGAGGCUGGAGAGAAGCAGCUGACUCGUGAUUUUUCACGCUUGCCGUCUGGCAAACCCUGAGGAAGGCUGCGACUGUGGCCGCCCAUGAGGCCACAAAGGGUUAAAAGCUGCAGACAGCACCUAGGAUGUGGAUUUAGCAACACCUCCGAGGUGGCACAGGAUUCUUAUCUUUAUUAAUGAGCACAUGCCAUGCAGAGAAUCAGCCUUCCUGGAACCCCUCAGGCUUCCCUAAUAAAAAAAGACCUUUGCCUCAACUGUUUCUCAUUUCACCCUCAUCUCCUGUUCUUCAAGAACAGCUCUCUGACACAUUGCCCGUGUGCUCUCAUGACACACUCACUACUUCUCCCAACUUUUCUCAGAAGGAAAGUGCCUGGGUGCGGGAAAGCUGGUGGGAUGGACCCAGAGAGGGAGGCAGAUCUGCAGGAGCAGCCAUAAUCCCCAGAAAUAAGCCCAGCUCUGGGGCUCUGAAGUCACCUCCCGACAUGUUAUGAAGAUCCUGUUCCAGGAAAUGUGUGGAGCAUCCUCUGGGACGAGCAUUUUGUAGGUCUGGCCCCGAGCCCGGGCAUGGGAGCGAUUCCAUCCUGCAGCGUGCAGGUCAGCUAACCCUCUCCUGGGGGGAGAUCCCGCAGGACCCCCAUGCCCUGCUGCCAGCCCUGCACGGGCAGUGCAGAAUCAGGCCCGCUCCUCCCAGCCUGGCUUCGAAGAGCAAACAGGAGGAGAGGAUGCAGGAUCCCCGAAAACAGGGCUGUUCCAGAGGACCAGGCUCUUCCACAUGAACAGACAUCAACGGACUUCACCUGAGACCUGUUGUCAUAAACCACAUCGAUCCACAAUGGGACAAGAGAUGCCCCUGCAGCCUAGGUCUUCAUCAGAGAUGAGCUCAGGGGUGCUGGUCAUUUCCCCACGUAUCCACAGGACAGCUUGAGCAAGCCAGGAGGCCACGGGUGGAGCAGGAUGGGUGCCACCAAUCCAGACAAUACAAACAGGGCAGAUUUGCAGCAGAAAACCAAAUGCACAGCGGAGCCGAGACUCCAACCGCUCGGUCAGGGCUGAAAAAGGCGCAGGACUUGCCUCAUGCCCUGGGAAGCUCGGUGGAGCUGGAAGGCAAGGAGGAGCUGAUUCUGAAUGCAGCAGCUGAUACACCUGCAACUCCACUUGUCACCCUCCUGCCUGCAAACCCCCCCCCCCCCCGCUGCGGUCCUGGCCGGGAGGUGAGCCCCCCGCACCCUCCUGCCAAGGCUGGGAGCAGAGCCCCUGCGCUGGGUCCCCCCAGACCCUCAGCUGAGCUGCGAGAACCUGCUUGGGGAAGAGAAAUCUCCUCGUAGCACCAGAUGGCACUCUCCGACUUCCAACCGAGCUGAACCAAGCCGGUCUAACCCAGCUGGGUGACACAGACACCCGUGGGUGGCUGCGGGGCCACCCUGGCUCCUUGCCCCGUGCCCGGGUCCAGGCUGCGGGGAGCAGGGGACACUGGGGACAGGAGGAUGGGGGGCAUCAAGGGACCAUCUCUGCACAGGCCAAGGAGGUUUUGGAGGUUUUCCAUCAACCUACAGGUUCUGGUCACCCCACGCAGCACGGGUGGCAGGCUCACCUCUUGCAAACCCUUGGCAAAGCCAGGAUUCCAGGUUUGUGCGGUCCAGCCAUGAGCCCCGGACGCGGUGCCGGCAGCGUGUGCAUGCCACCCACGGCUCAGUCGGGCUCGCCGCAGCCUCGCUGAACUGUCUGGAGGAUGUGACUAAGGGAAAGUUAUUCUCUGCUGCCCUGCUGCUGCCCUUCGUGCUGUGGUGCAGGGCUGCCUGCUGCUCCCAGGCAGGAGGGAGAGCUGGUCCAGCUCGCCCGGCACCGCAGCACCCAGCUCAGCACGGGGUGAUGGCUCUCCAGGGAUGCUGCGGUACGGAGAACGCUGCAGAAAGGAACAGCAAACCUGUUGUUUGUCAGGUUUUAGCCACAAUUCCUUCCCAGUUCCCUCUGGGAUUGCUGGGAGGAUGCAGACGGUGGCAGUGCCAAGUGCCUGGGGGCCAAGGUCGGAGCUGUGAUCCCCAGCCCCCCGCAGAGCCCAGCCACCGUGCCCAGAUCAUGGGUGUCUCCACACCAAGUUUAUCAUGACUGUGCUGUCUUUGGGCUCUGGAUGGAAGGAGAAUGUGGGCUUCAGGGAAAGUGCUUCUCACACACCCCAGAUUUAUCAAAUUGAUUAAAAAAAAACCCAACAGAUCCAGGCCUUAUUCCUAUAAUAGCUAUUGGAGCGCGUUGGAUGUUAAUCAAACUGUCUGUUCGCUGUGUCCAGAGAAACCAGCAUAAGCCAGCUUGUGUUUUUCAGGCAUUGGAAGAGCUGUCAAGCUAUAAUCUGUUUAGGACCAAGCAACUUAUAAAUAUACUUUCUGAUAAUCUGUUGUAUAAAUAUGGGAAGAGAGGGGGUGUUCUGUGACUGUGUGUAUCGAUCAGAUGGCUGAUAAAUCUGGGGUGGGGUGUGUGUGUGUGCUGAGUGUAGGGGCUCCCAGCAAGAAGGGAGGGACCCUUCCUCCUUUCCACCUUUGUCCCCGGCACAGAAUCGUUCUGUCCAGACUGUUCCCUCCAGCUUUGCCCACUGGGUUUGAAAUAUUGCAAAUAACAGAGCCCCCCUCUCUGGGAUGCAUCUCUGGGAUGCAGACGGUGGUCGAGCGCUGAUCCGUCACGUCCUGGUGUGAGCCCUGCAGCACCCGGCACCUGCGAGCACCCUGGGGAGACUCUCAGAUCCUUGGUGUGCCAGCGCAGAGGGUGCUCAAGCAUGGCAGCAGAGCUCUCUGCAGGCAAGAAGCUUGGGACAACCUGCUCCCAAGGUCCCACAGGUCUGUGCUGAUGUGGCCAAGCGCCUGGGGUCGGCUCCCGGCUGAGAGGACACGUUGAGAGGGUUAUCCAAUUUGCCGAAGUACUCGAGGUGUCUGUCUCUGACAUAUUUCUUUCUCUGACCAAGGUUUUCGGAAGAUGGCAGGAGAAACCAUUGGCAGCUUUGGGAGAAGCUGGGCACAGCUGGGAGCAUGUGGAGCAGGAGCUCCUGGAAAAGGCUGAGGUCAGUCUGGAAGAGGACGCCGUCGGUGUGCCGGCGUGGGAUGUGUGCCACCACGUGCGCCGUGGCCACAGCUGUAUUUCUGCCUCCUCCACCAAGCCAUUGUGGGACCAUGGGCAAGGCACUUGGGCCAAUACGCUUUCAAUUGCGGAGUGACAGGUCCAUAAAUCCAUUUUAGAAAAGCUGGUGGCUUCUGUAGGAAAAAACAAAACAAAACAAAACCAACCCCCCCAGCACGUUUCAGCAGAGGCUGUUUAUUAAACGAGCCUAGGUUUAAGUCUCCCCUUUGAGAAGGCUGGCUGUGCGCUCCCUGCCUCAGCUUCCCCUUUCACACAAGGGGUUGCGUACCACCUCCUCCCCUCCAAAGCACCUUAUGGAUCAGUGCCAAAUUUCUAAAUGCCUCUGAAAUCAGGGCUGACAAGGGCUCUGGGCAGUACCAGGCAACUGGCUCCGGAAACCCUCCGUCUCCCCGUGGGGAAUUUCCAAGCCUGGCUCUGAGAAGGCAGAUCCACGCGCCGGUUAUCGCUCCUCGCUGGUGUGAACCGAGGGCAGCCGAACACCAGCACGCCCCUCCUGAAGGCAGGGACAGCCCGGGAGAGAGGAAAAAGUGACUUCCUUCGCUUCAUGCACAGGAAAAGCAUGUCUGGGAGGUGGGGAGGGGGGUUCUGGGGGGGGCUGCUCGCCCUUGCUGUCUGCCGGGCACGUGUGCAUGGGGGUCACUUCACAGCAUCCCAUCUUCUCCCUCGUGCAAAGACCAGAUGUGUUGUCUUGUCUUCAGGAGCUGCAAAAGGGGGAUGGGAAACUUCCAAACAGCGUUGGAAAAUGGAGCGUGGAGGCGGUUUCUUUGUCUCACGCCGCGCGGGCCAGGAGUUACACUGGGUUGUUUGCUUGGUUAAUUAUUUUUUUUUUUCCCUCCAUGCUCAGCUUUCUCCGCAGCCACCUCAUCCUGCAGUGUGGGGGCAGGCGCAGACUUUGAGCAUUUAGGAAAGCACUCAGAGUUUAAUGGGGAUGCUUCUCUGUUUGAACCCAUCUGCCAUGAGCUCCGGAGCGCGGGUCUGAUCCCAGAGCCCGCACAGUAGCUCCUUUCAGCCUCUGAGGGGGUGUCUGCAAACAGAUGCCGAUUCAUAAGCACAGUCUUCGCAGGCAGAUAAAGGCAAGGGCACGCCUGGCAUGGCUCCCGGAGCCGCAGUCACUGGGAAUUGCUGGUGUCCAGCUUCUCUGAGGCAGUAAAUGGAGCUGGAGGCCAGAGGGGUGCAAGCAGCUGGGCGUCAGUGGGGUGUCACGUCAACCUUGCUUCACGCUAACGGUUGUGACGCGGCAGCGUGGGUCCAGCUCUCGUAGCCAGGGAUGCUGGAGGUGCCCAGGGCUCCGUGCUGCCCAGCAGCUGCAGGUAACGGGAGGGAAGAGCACUGGGCAGCACCGGCAGGCGGAGGGAGUGGGCCGCAGGGCUGGUGGGAGGCAGUGCCAGUGUGUUGGCUGCUUUGGUCCUGAGGUGCAUCCUUCCCUCCCUAGAUCCCACUCCUGGGAGAGGUGGGAUGCAGCUCUGGAUGGACCACCCCACAUCGGCAGCCCUUCUGGAAGAGAUCCAUGCUGCUUCUUUGCUCCCCACCCUGGUACCGGCCAGGCUUAGGCUUGUCCCAAAGAGCUCCUCAGCUCCAGCUUUUUCCUCUUCGUUCCCCUAUGUUUCUCUUUAAUGAACAUACCACAUUUCCCUUUUUGCUUUCUCCUGUCCUGUUCCUGGGGAAGGUUCUGUGAGUCUCACGCCCCUGGCUGGCAUGGCCUGGGUUUGGGUUGGAUUUAUUAUAUAUAUAUAUUUAGAUCAAGCAUUUAGUGUAAGUAAAUUGUUCUCACUUCUCCCUCUGAUUAUUCACUUUCCCUUAUUAAUCAGUUCUGUGUUGCAUUACUUUUUCUCCUUUCCCAACCCUUCCACCCUCUAGCUUUUUCGUGUUCCCCACAUUAGUUAUUCCCUGUGGCUUUUAGCAUUUUUAUUUAUUAAUUUCAGGGUAAGAAGAGACAGGUUCUGCCUCUGCUCCCUACCCACUGCAAAAGGAGCAGUGAGAUUGGUUUGGCUGGUGAUGAUCUCCAUCCCCUGGGUCUACAGCCAACCUCUUGUAGAGGUAUCAGGGAGGGGUCAGGGGGGUGGUCCUGGCCCUGGGGUUGGAGAAGUAGCCCCCUGCCCCUUCAUUUUCCCUUGGGUGCAUGGGAGGUGUCCCGUCCCUGCAUCCUCACCUCAUCCCAAUCCCCUGCCUCUGCCCUGAGCCACUUGAACCACUGACCUCGGCAGCGGUUCCCAGCCCCAAGCGGCUCAUUCACGGCCAGGCAGGAGGAGCUGCUGGCAGCCGGGCUCCUGCUAAUCUGGGAAUUGUAUGCCAGGAAGCACACACCCAGCCGAGCUGCCCCAGACAAAGCCAGCAGUGUACGCACCAGCUCUCCCCAGGCGUUGCUCUGCGCGGCUCAGGGCUAUUUCUGAGCCGUCCCCAGCGCGUGAGGCCUCGGUGGUUCCUUCCCUGGACUUGCCCGAGGGUUGGGCACCUGCGAUGGCUGCAGUGCCAGAGCUCGGUCCUCCUACGAGGGCUCCCAGCCUGGCACCUGGUGCUCCUGCCUUUCUCCGGGGCGAAUCAUAAAACAGGGCUGUAGCAUCUAAACUGUGCUGGCUAACGGGAAACCAUGGCUGUGAAAGGGAUGAACUCCCUGAUUAUCUCUGGGGUGUUUACUCUGGAGCCUAACAACAGCAAAUUAACCACAGCCAUCAUUACUUUCGAGCUAGAGUGGUUUAGCCCAUCUGUCCUGGCAGUCCCUUCCCACCUGGGUACCAAAACUCUGUCCUUGACACAUCCCUGGAAGCCUUGAGCUCCAAAUAGACUUGACUUCUGUGUAAAACCGUCUGAGAUUUCCCGAAGAGAAGUGCUAUAUAAAAUGUAGGUAUUAUUAGCAUUCUCCCACUGCCAGGUCAUAUGUCAAACACCAGCCCAAGGUGUUAGGAGGAAGGGUUUGCCUUGGCUGAGUCAUUUCGUAGCAGCUCGUUUCAGGGUUAUGCGCACCUCUUUGGGAAGCAGCUGGUGUCAUCUGCUAAAUUAGGUCUGGCAGAGGCAGCAAGUCAUUUCCACAGCAUCCGAGCAUCCCUGGUCAGCACAGUCCUUGUCCCUGUGCUGUUCCCGCUGCGUAGGUGGGAAGCGGAGACGCCUACACCGAGCUGUCCUUGGCGAUGUUCAGGGCAGGCUGAUGGAAAUUUGCUCGGUGACUUAUUCUGCUCUACCCUUUUGAGGGCACAUCGCCUUGACAAGAAGCUGCACGUUCACGUGAUGCUCCCACAUCCUGCUCGAUGUAUUUUAAGGUUGUUUACAAACACUGAUGUGGUGCUAGAGCAAGCGAGGCUGCUCACAAACUGCGUGAGCUAGAAAAGCCUCUACAAACCUCGUCGUCUUCCCAUGCGCUGAUAGAAGAUGAUGAUCCAGCGCUGGAGUGCAGCUCUAACUGGAGAUGGAUGGGCUGGUGGGACUGCUCUGGCGCUGGGAGGCUCAAUCCAAUUCCCUGCAUCGUCCUGCACUUCGCUGCAGCCUUGCAUGGAGACCCAUGGCCUUGCUCUGCUUAUUCUGCGUCUUCAGUAGCGCCACGAAGCCCCGGUGAUGGGCUCCUUUGUGCAAGAUGCUGCACAAAUGCGGAGUAAAAUAGAUGGCCGGUGCCUGAAAUAAUGUCCAGUCUGAGACUUCCAGGUCUCACAAAGCUGUUGUAAAGUUGCAUUACAAAUGUGAGACGCUCAGAUAUUACGAUGAUAUGAGCCAACAUAAUAGAAUAUUUUAAAUUAAAUAUUUAUCUGGAUCCUCAGCCUGUGAAAGGGGUAGAGCUCUGCUGGCUUCUGUGGACUCACACUAAUUUAUUUUUUAUUAUGACCCAUUUGUAUUAUGAUGGUGGCGGGGAGGUUCUAGGAGAUCGCCUCCAGCUUAAGACCCCAUUAUUUCAGGUGUUCUAAAAGCACAGAACAGCUCGACGAUCUGUGCCCCAAAUUUGAAACCGCUAAGGAUGUAGCCUGGUAAUUUUGUAAAAACCAAACUUGUUCUCUAACGUACACACAGUGCUUCCUCUGCACAGGCAUGGACCCUUCCCCGGCGAUGCAGACGGGCUGCAGAAGCCCCCUCUCCCUGCCGAUGGUACCGCACUGGCUGAGAAAGGGAUUGCCAUUGCAUCAACAAAGAGCCCUUGCAGCCCCAGCCCAGACAGGAGAAAUAUUUGCCACACAAAGACUCUAUUUUCAAGGAAAUCCUCCGACUUCGGCGUCAAAUGAGAGAAAUGAUUCAAACUCUGGAGGCAAGCGGCGGAGACAGCCGUGGGUAGGAAAUUCUCAUGGCAUGGGCUGAGCGAUUCGCCUGCCUUGUCCACAACGGGAGCAAGGGCUGCUUUUACGAGCAGAUAUAAUUCCUGCUUUACAUUCAGGAAUUAUUUGAAUCCCUUUGCAGAUGCAGGCUGCAGCUAAACCUGUUUUCUAUUUGCACCCACCCAUAGCCCUCCUAGAGGGAUGCUUGGGGCUUGUGCAAUGGGGUGAAGCAGCAGGGAUCCAGGGGAACCCCAGCAUGGGGCUGGCAGAGCCCUGGAGAUGCUUCUGUCUGGGAUGAGGAACAGCAACCGAUGGCCCGAGCUCACCGGAGAAAUCCUGUGCGGGGCUGGGGCCAGCCACUGCGGAGCAGCUACGUGCUGCUCACCACCUUCCUCCCAGCAGCGUCAGGACGUUUUGCUCACCAGAGCCAUGAUUUUGAUCAAAGGAAACGUUAGUCAUUGGAGACUUGAGCUUUUGGUGUUAAAAUUAAAUGUUAGCUGUUAAGCUGGCACCCAUGAUAAAGAAAACUCUGCUUCACCAGCACGAACACGCUUCGUGCCUGAGUUUAAAAGGCCAACGGGGCAACUGCAUCCUCUGCGGGCUGGGGGUAGCUCCUGGGACCCACGUUGCUCCUGGGACAGCCUGGAUGGGUUUUCAAGCCAUCAGCUGCCUUUCCACAGCCCCGGCCGAGGUGCUGAUGCCUUCAGAAAUGACAGGCCAGCUGCCGCUCUGAAUCAGGCAGGAAGGAGCCGCGUCUGCCGCAGCAUAUAAAAGAGCUGUUGGGUCUGUUGGUGAUAUAUAAAAUGCGAUAUAAUGUUACCUAUAAUUUUUAAAGCUAG